rnacentral:rRNA from 1 species
AGAGUUUGAUCCUGGCUCAGGGUGAACGCUGGCGGCGUGGAUAAGGCAUGCAAGUCGUGCGCAGGCCUCUUUGUGAGUUUUCUCACAAAGAGGUGCUGAGCGGCGAACGGGGCAGUAACACGUGCCUAACUCACCCUGCACUCAGGGAUAACUCCGGGAAACUGGAGCUAAUACCUGAUGGUACCAUUAGAUCACAAGAUCUAAUGGUUAAAGCCUAAGGGAAACCUUAGGCGGUGCAGGAGAGGGGCGCGGCCGAUCAGCUAGUUGGUGGGGUAAUGGCCCACCAAGGCUAUGACCGGUAGGGGGCCUGAGAGGGUGUUCCCCGCCAAGGGCACUGAGACACGGGCCCUACUCCUACGGGAGGCAGCAGCCGAGAAUAUUGGGCAAUGGGCGAAAGCCUGACCCAGCGACGCCGCGUGCCGGAAGAAGCCCUUCGGGGUGUAAACGGCUUUUCUGGGGGAGGAAUCUCUGAGGUAAAACCUCAGGGUGACAGUACCCCAGGAAUAAGGGACGACUAACUUCGUGCCAGCAGUCGCGGUAAGACGAAGGUCCCUAGCGUUACCCGGAUUUACUGGGCGUAAAGGACGAGAAGGCGGAAACGCAAGUUUACUCUAAAAGUCACCGAGCUCAACUCGGUGAACGGAGUAAAUACUGCGUUUCUAGAGUCUGCCAGGGGCCAGCGGAACGGUCGGUGUAGGGGUGAAAUCCGAUGAUAUCGACCGGAACGCCGAAGGCGAAGGCAGCUGGCUAGGGCAGUACUGACGCUGAUCUCGUGAAAGCCAGGGGCGCGAACCGGAUUAGAUACCCGGGUAGUCCUGGCUGUAAACGAUGGGUGCUAGCUUUGGGGAGAGUCGACCCUCUCUGAGGCGAAGCUAACGCGUUAAGCACCCCGCCUGGGGAGUAUGUCCGCAAGGCCGAAACUCAAAGGAAUAGGCGGAAGCCCGACCAAGCGGUGGACCAUGUUGCUUAAUUCGAGAGUGACCGAAAAAUCUUACCUGGGCUUGACAUGCUAGUCUUAAUGCCUUCUCCGAAAGGAGAAGGAAUCCAGGCUUUGCCUGGAGGGCUAGCACAGGUGCUGCACGGCCGUCGUCAGCUCGUGGCGUGAGCCGUAACCUUAAGUGGCGCAACGAGCGCAACCCCUACCCUGUGUUACAUGUGUCACAGGGGACUGCCUGGUCUACCCAGGAGGAAGGUGGGGAUGACGUCAGGUCUGCGUGGCCCUUAUGCCCAGGGCGGCAAACAUGGUACAAUGCCGGGUACAAAGGGUUGCGAUGCCGUGAGGCUGAGCUAAUCCCUAAAAGCCCGGCCCAGUUCGGAUCGGAGGCUGAAACCCGCCUCCGUGAAGGCGGAAUCGCUAGUAAUCGCGGAUCAGCGAUGCCGCGGUGAAUACGUUCUCGGGCUUUGCACUCACCGCCCGUCAGGUCAGGGGAGUCAUCUCUACCUGAAGUCCUAUUUUUAUAUAGGAUUAGGGUAGGGAUGAUGACCAGGGCUAAGUCGUAACAAGGUAUCGCUAGCGGAAGCUGGCGAUG